rnacentral:rRNA from 1 species
UACGUAGGGUGCAAGCGUUGUCCGGAAUUAUUGGGCGUAAAGAGCUCGUAGGCGGCCCGGUAAGUCCGCUGUGAAAGUCGGGGGCUCAACCCUCGAAUGCCGGUGGAUACUGUCGGGCUAGAGUGCGGAAGAGGCGAGUGGAAUUCCUGGUGUAGCGGUGAAAUGCGCAGAUAUCAGGAGGAACACCGAUUGCGAAGGCAGCUCGCUGGGACGUAACUGACGCUGAGACGCGAAAGCGUGGGGAGCAAACAGG